rnacentral:rRNA from 1 species
UACGUAGGUGGCAAGCGUUAUCCGGAUUUAUUGGGCGUAAAGGGAACGCAGGCGGUCUUUUAAGUCUGAUGUGAAAGCCUUCGGCUUAACCGGAGUAGUGCAUUGGAAACUGGGAGACUUGAGUGCAGAAGAGGAGAAUGGAACUCCAUGUGUAGCGGUGAAAUGCGUAGAUAUAUGGAAGAACACCAGCGGCGAAAGCGGCUCUCUGGUCUGUAACUGACGCUGAGGUUCGAAAGCGUGGGUAGCAAACAGG